AGCGAACGCUGGCGGCAGGCUUAACACAUGCAAGUCGAGCGGGCAUAGCAAUAUGUCAGCGGCAGACGGGUGAGUAACGCGUGGGAACGUACCUUUUGGUUCGGAACAACACAGGGAAACUUGUGCUAAUACCGGAUAAGCCCUGACGGGGAAAGAUUUAUCGCCGAAAGAUCAGCCCGCGUCUGAUUAGCUAGUUGGUGAGGUAAUGGCUAAACAAGGCGACGAUCAGUAGAUGGUCUGAGAGGAUGAGCAGCCACAUUGGGACUGAGACACGGCCCAAACUCCUACGGGAGGCAGCAGUGGGGAAUAUUGGACAAUGGGCGCAAGCCUGAUCCAGCCAUGCCGCGUGAGUGAUGAAGGCCCUAGGGUUGUAAAGCUCUGUUGUGCGGGAAGAUAAUGACGGUACCGCAAGAAUAAGCCCCGGCUAACUUCGUGCCAGCCGCCGCGGUAA
rnacentral:rRNA from 1 species